rnacentral:lncRNA from 1 species
CUGCCCCUAUCCUCCCGCCCUCUCUCGCUCCUUCUUUCUCCAUAGUUCACACUUCUUUCUCCUCCUUAACGGUUUUGGUAAUUCUUUUGUUAGUUUUUCUUGUAUAAAUGUAUAUGUAUUUUAUUGUUUUUCUUCUAUUUCAACCUCAAACAAUGUCAAGAAUUUUAUUAUUUUUUUCUUUUAUUUCAAUCUCAAACAAUGUCCAUGAUGUCAUUGUUUUUUCUUCUAUUUCAAUUUCAAAUUAGUAAAGUUGUGCAACUAGAAAAAGGAUGUUAGGAUUGCUCUUGUGAAUCUGAAGCAGGGCAAGAUGAGUGUGAAGGAGUAUGCCUUAAAGUUCAAUUAGUUGUCUCAUAAUGCCCUGGAGUUGGUGUCUAGCAUGAGGCUAGUCUGAGGAAGUUUGCUUUGAGUUUGUCUCGUGAUUUAGUAUUGGAGUAUAAGGAUGCGAUGUUGAACAAUGAUAUGGAUAUCUCUAGGCUUGUGGUUUAUAUGCAAUAUGCAGCAAGUUGAGGAUGAGAAAAAGAAGCAGGCGGAGAUAGAAGAAAGGCAGAACAAGAAGUUCAGGUAUUAAGAGCAGGGCGAGGGUCAACAAAAUAGUGGGAGAGAUGGUAGGCAAUGGUCCUAGAAUAAGAAUUGGAGGAGUUUGAAUUCAUAUUCGUCGCUCUGACGAUUGUCAUUUUCAGACUAGCGGUGGGUCGAAGACACGAGUUGCCCAGUCUUAAGCUAGUGAAGCUCAGUCAGUCCCACCCUAUCCUUUUUGUCGAUUUUGUGGUCAGUUUUAUUGUGGUUAUUGUGAUGCGAGGAGGAACUUUUAUUUUAAAUAUGGCCAUCCUAGUCAUAUUUACAGGAACUAUCCUUCAGCUAAGGUGGCUAGUGGAGCUAAUAAGGUUCCGAUUGCUACUUCAUUAGCUCCCGCACUAAAGGGCUACUACUUCUGGUACCGACAAUAGCCAAAAUCGUCUCUAUGCUCUUUCCAUCCGUCAGGAAUCUGAGGUAUCUCCUGAUGUUGUCACUGGUAUGUUAUAGCUUUUCUCCCGUGAUGUUUAUUGUUUACUUGAACCGAGAUCUAUUCUUUCUUAUAUGACCCCUUAUGUAGUUGUGCAUUUUGGUUUUGGUCCUUAAACCUUAUUUGAUCCUUUCUCUGUGUCUACCCCGAUGGGUUAUCUAUUGUGCCUAGAAAGGUCUAUAGGGGUUAUGUGGUGUCCAUUUUUCAUAGGGAAACCUUAGUAGAUUUAAUAGAGUUGGACAUGGUGGAUUUUUUCAUUUUGGGGAUGGAUUGGCUUUACUCGUGCUAUGUUUCUCUGGAUUGUAGGACCCAAAAGGUUAGUUUUCAAUUCCCAAAUGAACUGGUAGUUCUAUAGCAGGGGAGUUCCUUAGUACCUAAGAGGAGGUUUAUUUCCUAUCUUGGAGCCCAGAAGUUGAUUUUCAAGGGGUGUAUUUAUCAUUUGGUCCAAGUUAAAGAUUCUAGCUUUAAAGGCCCUUCUUUGCAAUCUGUCCCUAUCGUUAAUGAAUUUUCUAAGUUUUUUCCUGAUGAUCUUCCUGGCAUUCCUCCCGAAAGGAAAAUAGAUUUUAGGAUUGAUCUUCUGUCGAACACUCGCCCUAUUUCUAUUCCUUUGUAUAGAUUGGCUUCAUCUGAGUUAAAGGAGCUUAAGAAGAAAUUAAAGGAUCAUUUUGAUAGGGGAUUUAUUUAUCCUAGUGUUUCUCUGUGGUGAACUAUAGUGCUUCUCGUGCGUAAAAAAGAUGUAUCUUUUUAGAUGUGUAUAGAUUAUCAACAGUUGAAUAAGAUUACCAUGAAGAAUAAGUAUCCUCUUCCUAGGAUUGAUGAUCUUUUCGACCAGCUUCAGGGUGCUAGAUAUUUUUCUAAGAUAAUCUUUGUUUGGGCUAUCAUCAGUUGAAUAUUAGGGAGGAUAAUAUUCUCAAGUCUGAUUUUCGAUCCUAGUAUGGUCAUUAUGACUUCCUGGUUAUGUCAUUUGGGUUAACUAAUGCUCUGACUAUUUUUAUGGAUCUUAUGAACCGAGUAUUUAGACAGUUUCUGGAUCUGUUUGUUAUUGUUUUCAAUUGAUGAUAUUUUGUUGUAUUCUAAGAGUGAGGAGGGUCAUGCCAAUCACCUUCAAAUUGUGUUGCAAAAUCUUAAGGAUCAGAAGUUGUAUGCUAAAUUUUCUAAGUGUGAUUUUGGUUGAAUACUGUGACUUUCCUUGGGCAUGUUAUUUCUAGCAAGGGGAUUAAGGUGGAUCCACAAAAAUUUAAGGCGGUUAAGAGGUGGCCUAGAUCCAUGACUCCAACCAAUAUUCGGAGCUUCUUGGGCUCGGUUGGGUAUUAUAGAUGAUUUGUGGAGAUUUUUUCUUCUAUUGUUGCCCCAUUGAAAAAGUUGACUCAGAAAAAUGAAAAGUUCUUGUGGUUCGAUAUUUGUGAGGGUAGCUUUGAGAAGUUGAAGAAUAGGUUGACUUUUACACCAGUUCUGAUUUGCUCGAGGGUACUGAUAGUUUUAUUGUUUAUUGUUAUGUGUCCCGUGUGGGACUAGGUUGCAUCUUGAUACAGCUUAGGAAGGUUGUGGGCUAUACUUCUAGGAAACUUAAGAUUCAUGAAAGGAAUUAUUUGACUCAUGAUUUAGAGUUAGCGGUUGUGGUUUUUGCUUUGAAGAUUUAACAUUAUUAUUUGUAUGGGGUGCAUAUGGAUAUCUAUUCAGAUCAUAAGAGCUUGCAGUAUGUGUUUACUCAGAAGAAGUUGAAUCUUAGACAUAGGUUGUGUCUUGAGUUGCUAAAGAACUAUGACACGAGUCUUUACUACUAUCCAAGUAAAGCUAAUAUGAUUGCUGAUACUCUUAGAAAAUUAUCUAUGGGGAGCCUAUCUCAUGGGGAUAAGGAAAAAAGAGUAUUGGUAAAGGACAUUCACCGGCAAACUAAUUUGGGAAUUCGUCUUUUGUACUCUGAAGAUAGAGGGGUAAUUGUUCAGGAAGUAUCCAAAUCAUCUCUUGAUGGUGAGUGAAUGAGAAGUAGGCCUUGGAUCCCAUUCUUAUAUAGAUUAAGGAUGAUGUGGGUCAACAAAAGGUUAGGGCCUUUGAGAUUGGUUGAGAUAGAAUUCUGAGGUAUCAAGGUAGGCUGUGCGUUCCUGAUAUUGAAGGACCGGGGGAAAGGAUUUUGACUGAGGCUCAUGAGUCGAGAUAUACUAAAACACCCAAGUUUUUGGACCUUAGAAAAUUUUCUUGAUUUCUGGUCUCUGGACAGGUUACGACUGGGGGAAAUGAUUCAUACACUCGGUUAUGAUUUAUAUGGCCCAGUAAUAUGCUUACCAGUGUUGGUUAGUGGGACGGACUUUGGUUACUUGAAUGGAUACGACUUAGGGGUACAAGUCGUAUUGGUGGGUACAGAUUGUUUGGUUCCUUAACUUAGUUUAAAUUGGGUUACCUAGGUUAUAUUUGAGUAUGAGUGGCUCACCUGGAGCCAUAAGUUAGGGUACGAGUCGUACCAUGGACUCGUAUAGGAAAUAAUGUUCAAACCUUAUAUGAUUCUAUCUUGCCAGGGAUACGGAUGAAGGGUAUAGAUCGUAUGCUAUUAAUAUGACUUGGGAAGGAUGAUUCAUAUAUUGGAUAGUGUUAGGUCCGAAAGUUUAGGUUUAGGAUACGAGUAGUGGGUACCACUCGUAUCGAAGGGUAUGACUCGUGAGGAUCAGUCGUACCCCUGUGAUGGUAUAUUUAAGGAGUUUAAGUGAGGGAAAUCUGGACAUUUCCCAACUUAUCCUAAUCAGGUCCUACGACAUAUAGGGCACAUGGAAGGUUAUUUACCCUAAUAUUUUAUUCCUUAGCCUUUCGAAACUCGUCCUAAACACUCUAUAAUUCUCUCAAAAGUUUUUGGGCAAGAAAGCUACGGUUUCAUCCUUAAGGCCUAUGUAGUGGUUUUGUUGGUGGUUUCUGUAACAUCUCGUAUUUUGCUUGUACUUGUUAAAUUAUAUGGAACUUGGUAUAGCCUUUUGAUAUAUAUAACGUAUGAGAAUUGUUAUGCAAGUAUUAAUGGUAUAGAUGGAAUUAUAGAUGCUACCCGUACAGUUUAAUGUGAUGCGACUAAGUUAACGUUAAGAUAACUAUUUAAACUUGGAAUCGUAAGCUAGUAUUUGAAUCUAAAGUUUCAAGUGACCAAGUGUGUAUAAGUUGAAGGUUAGAUUAAAGGGAUUAGGAGCUGAAAAUAGAGUAAAAUAUUGAGGUGGUUGCUUGACUUAUUUAAGCUAGUAGGUGAGUCACCUACUUAAGUUGUUUGGACCAAAUUAAUGGACCCAUGGCUAUGAAUCAAAUUUGGGUCGAUGCUAAUAUACUCAUUUGGGCCAAAUUGAACAAAAGAGAAAGAAAAUGGAUAAGUGGCCCAACACACCAAUCUGCCAAAGUCCCAAGUUAUUUAAUCCCAAAAUAAGAAUUUAAAUAAGUAGGUGCAUCACCUACUUGGACUAAUUUGACAAAUUUUAUGGUCCAAAAUGCAGCUAAGGAGGUAGACAAGAUAGGGCCUUUAAAGGCCAAGUUGCUGGUCAUUUUACUUCACUUUUAAGUCACAAAAAAGGAGUAUAUUUCAGCAAAUCUCUCUACUCUCUCUAAUACAACUAGAACAACAACCCUAUUUUUCCUUCUAGGGUUCUUGAAGAAACCCUCACCUUUGCAGCCCAAGGUAAGUGAAAAACACUUAAGAUUUUGUUUAAUUAUCUCAUGGAAGAUUAGGAAAACAAGUUAUAAAUGUUUGACUAUAAGUAUAUGGCUAAUUAUAGAACAAGCUGUUUGUUCACGUUUCCUUGUUAUUGAGGAACUUUUUUUCUUCUUCUUUGCUUUAAGUGUGAAGGAAAGUUCAAGCCCUUGAAGAGUUCAAUUAAAAGAAUAAGUUGCUGAAUUGAGGUAAGGUGACUGCUCAUUUUAUUUUUCUUAUAUAUGAAUUUGAGAGAGGAUUAUAGAUGUCUUGUUAUUGAGAACUCAAGAGAUGAUGAGUUCAAUAAUUAAUUGCUACAAUAAAAGGGAUUUAGGACUGGGUUGUGGACUGUUUUUUAUGUAUAUGUUAUGGGCUGCCAGGUUGAAGUUGGAUAAAGGCAUGAUGAGUUUGUAAUGAAUUAUAGAAGAAAGAUGUGGUGAUAUACCACCGAACUAAUGUUUUCUGCCCAAUCUAUUUUGUGUAUUGUUUGGAAUGUGUAAUGAAGUCGAGGUGGUUUUGGUGAACCUUAUAAGAACCUAUAUGGUAUGUGGGUGUAAUUGGAGGAAAAAAGGGUUAAAAUAACACCCUUGUUUGAUAGAUUAAUAGUUGCUGCCCGGUUACUGUUUUGGGUGAAAUUAAGUAUCUCAAAUAUGUUGAUUUGUUAGUAAUAAUAGUUUACCAUAUAUUCUAUUGUAGAUAAGUAAUAUACAAGGCGGGAAGUCAAGUCGGGUUAGUUUCGAAGUCAAAUAACCAGGUAUGUAAGGCAUACUCUAUUUCACACUCUUUGGCAUGAAAUCGUACAAUUGUUCCAUCAAGCAAGUUUCCGAUUUAUCGUAUAACAAAGUGAUACAUAAUGGAAGCACAUUACACUCCAUGUAUCCAAUGACCUUGUUCCCACUCUCUAACGCAUUAGAACACCUCAAUACGUGCUUAUUAUUAAAUCUGCGCGUCUAUCUUCACUAGAAAAUUUCAGGAGUUCUCCGUUUGUCCAAAUAAGACCUAUGUGUUAUUUCAGCUCCUAAACACUUUAUUUGUGUGCCAACAGCUCCCUACCUCAUUUUUGUUGCAUUAAGUAUCUAGUUACAUAUGUCUUAUUAGCAUAUUACUGGUUCAAGGUACCAUAAUGCGAUGACCACCAAAGUAACAAUCUCAAAGGCUAAAUAAACUAAGUAAUGCAAAUCUGUAAAAUGAUGAGUGGCAGCUCAGGGGCAUUUUCCUAGCAUGGGCUGAUCUCGAUACCUUUAUUUGUGGGUGGCAGCUCAGGGGCAUAAGCCUAGCAUGGGCCGAUCCCAAUCUUUAUACGUAGGUGUCAGCUCAGGGGCGUAAGCCUAGCAUAGGCCGAUCCUAAUUUAUCUAUUUACCACUGAUCUGCUGGUCAUUUGCAUUAUAUGGCUUGCAAAGAUUAUGAAGUAAGAAGGUAAAAUGAAGAAAAGAAUGUAAUGUACCUUGUCCCAUAAGUAUUUAUAAAGGUGGUCUACUAGUACUACUUAUACACUUGUAUUAGAUUUCUAUUGAGCUUUUGUAUCAAGUGUGUUGUUACUUUCUGCCUUACAUAUUCAGUACAUAUUUUUAUACUGACGUCCCUCACGAGGGACCUGUAUUUCAUGCUGCAGGCACAAACACUUUAGCUCAUACAACUCACUAGUAGAAGCGCAGGCUUUUUAGGAAGUAUUGGUGAGCUCCAGGUUGAUUCGGG